GACGAACCGAGCGAACGUUAUUCGGAAUCACUGGGCUUAAAGGGCGCGUAGGCGGGCUCGCGAGUCAGGGGUGAAAGCCCCCAGCCCAACUGGGGAAGUGCCUUUGAUACUGCGAGCCUCGAGGAGGUAGGGGCGUGCGGAACUUCCGGUGGAGCGGUGAAAUGCGUAGAUAUCGGAAGGAACACCGGUGGCGAAAGCGGCGCGCUGGACCUCUUCUGACGCUGAGGCGCGAAAGCCAGGGAGCGAACGGG
rnacentral:rRNA from 1 species